rnacentral:misc_RNA from 1 species
CCUGGAGAAAUGCUUCCUGCUCCUCCCGCCCUCCCCACCACCAUCCUGCUGUAUUUAAAGCUGCUUUGGUGAUGCUUUGCUCAUCUCAGUGAAUUUUCAGUUCAGACCUUUUCACUAAGGAUCAUUAUGGAAGAAAGAGGGGUAAGAAGUGUGGCUGAGUAGCCUAGGAUUAAUUCAUCAGUCCCCAAAUAAGCAAACACGAUGUCUCAGGAUGGACGGUGAAAUUCUGGACCUCACAGGACCCUGCUUUCUCGGCUGUGAUUCACGACAAACUCCAGGUCCCCAACACCAUCCGGAAGGCAUGGAACGACCGGGACAACCGCUGUGACAUUUGCGCCACUCACCUGAACCAGUUGAAGCAGGAGGCCAUCCAGAUGGUGCUGACGUUGGAGCAGGCAGCCGGCAGUGAGCACUACGACGCCUCGCCCUGCUCCCCGCCACCGCUCUCCAACAUCCCCACCCUGGUGGGGUCCCGGCACGUGGGUGGGCUCCAGCAGCCCAGAGACUGGGCCUUUGUGCCCGCCCCCUGUGCCACCUCCAACUACACAGGCUUCGCCAACAAGCACGGCAGCAAACCCAGCAGCCUUGGGGUCAGCAAUGGGGCGGAAAAGAAGAGCGGGUCCCCAACCCACCAGGCCAAGGUCAGCCUCCAGAUGGCCACCAGUCCAAGCAAUGGGAACAUCCUCAAUUCGGUGGCCAUCCAGGCUCACCAGUACCUGGAUGGCACCUGGUCCCUGUCGAGAACCAACGGGGUCACCCUGUACCCAUACCAGGACUCCGAAGCUCUUGUCACACGUGGCAGGGGCCGGUUAGAAGACUCGGCGGCUGCGCCAGCGCUGAUGAGCGAGGACAGAGGAGCAUGAAACUGGUGCUUUCCUGUAAAAUAUUCAAAAGCAGAUGGCCUCUGGAUCAGUGCCAGAGCCAUUCCCCGGGCAGAGAAGCAUCUAGACCUUGUCACUACCAAGGGUGCGGCUCCACACCCGCGGGACCCGAGCCUCUAGAAAUGAGGGAGAAGACGACUCUGCCUUUCUGCAAUUUAGACGUCGCAAGGAUGAAAACGAUGCGGACAGGCUUUCCAGCAGUGAGCCUGGGGAAAUCUGCGUCACAUGGGCGACAGAAGGUCCCUCGAAUCCCUCAAUCCCCGUGGCCCGCACCACUGUGUAAUAAUCUCCAAAGGUUGCAGUAGGAAGA